GAUGAAGAACGUAGCGAAAUGCGAUAAGUGGUGUGAAUUGCAGAAUUCAGUGAAUCAUCGAAUCUUUGAACGCACAUUGCGCCCCUUGGUAUUCCAUGGGGCAUGCCUGUUCGAGCGUCAUUUGUACCUUCAAGCUCUGCUUGGUGUUGGGUGUUUGUCUCGCCUCUGCGUGUAGACUCGCCUUAAAACAAUUGGCAGCCGGCGUAUUGAUUUCGGAGCGCAGUACAUCUCGCGCUUUGCACUCAUAACGACGACGUCCAAAAGUACAUUUUUACACUCUUGACCUCGGAUCAGGUAGGGAUACCCGCUGAACUUAAGCAUAUCAAUAAGCGGAGGA
rnacentral:misc_RNA from 1 species